UUUGCCGUUGAUGGAUGGUGUGCGAGCAUGGUCGGCGUUGGCGAGCGCGGAACGAGGAAGCCGGUGUGAAUCCGGCGCGGUCCCGCCACUGUGAUCGGCGAGCGAAUCCCGAAUCAGCCACUGCCCGCGUGCGGGUGGGAAGGCCGGGACGAGUGUUGACCCGAGAGCCAGGAGACUCACGCGGUCGCCUCCUCAGAG
rnacentral:ncRNA from 2 species